rnacentral:lncRNA from 1 species
CAAGUCCGAUGUAAAACCUUAAUAAAAAAUUCUUUUUCAUUAUUUCACUCUACCAUGGCCAUGGGCUUAAGGACUCAAUCUUUCGAUCAUCAUAGGACUACUCCUCUUAUCUACCGAGGUUGAUAGAUCCUAUCUUGGUGCGAUCUGGUUCCUACAAUGAAUAUGCUACAGCCAACAUACACCUCAGGAUUCUGAAUGGCUAAGAGAUCAAGUUAUGGUGUAGUCAAACUAUAACACACUCAAGGUGAACUAUCGAUGUACCUCAGGUCAAAGAACUAGACACACAGCUGCAGCAUCGAGCUAGUCAUCGACGAGAAGGUAGACUUCCUUAUGACUGCUCGAGGUGGUCACGCUCAGUACUCUCAUUCUCAAUGAAUACCUGUACUCUCACUCUGAUGUCUCCACA